UCCAGCCUUGGGAACAGGAAGGCCAGGAGCAGGUUCACUCUGUUUGAGACACUGCUUCUCCUUUGAGAAGUCAUUUGGGACCCAUGGACACAGGUGUGACUUCUUCCUUGUCCUAAAAGCCUUCUGCACAGUACUGAGUUCCUCCAAGGCCUAUUCCCCUUUCCUUUCAGCCUCUCCCCAGCUUGGCCAAAAGACCACAGUCUCUGUAAAGUAGAAGGAUGGCAAAGAGAUGGUGUUUGACCGCAAUGCUGUCUCCUGUGACUCAAUCUCCACAUUCCUGUCUUGGAGGUAGACUCUGGCCAGGUUUCAGGCUCGUGGAGCUGCUUGAAGGUUCAAAUGAACGGUGACUAAAGAGUUCACAGAGAGCAUCUGUACAAGGAGUAACAGAACAUGACAUGUCUCUUUGGACCCUACUCAAACUUUUUGAGAACUCAGUUCAGAGUGGGGGGGACAACAAGAAUUUCAAAGCCCAAGGGACCUUCCUUUGCCUUUUCCAGCCAGCACCCCAGCUUGUGGCUUGAGAGUGACCCAGGUUCUGCUCUGAGUCCUGUCAGUGGCCAGAAGCCUCAGCAUGUUACUUCUGAACCCCAAAGUCUCACUGGUCUUUGUUUACACCAAAUAGUACAUUCACAACAAACUGCCUGUGCAGCUGCCUUCGGUUUUGAAAGUUAAAUGUGAGCAGAGGCUGGCCCCAGAGUCAGAGCUGCACCGCACUGCUCUUCUAGGUAAGCCCAAGUUUAUGGGUUUGGGGACAGAAUUUCCUCAUUCUGGGCUCCGUUUUUCUGUAAAGUGGGAGUUAAAAUACUCAUUUCUUUAGAAAACAUGUGAGUUGGGUGUAGUUGCACACACCUUUAAUCCCAGCACUUGGGAGGCAGAGGCAGACAGAUUUCUGUGAGUUUGAGGCCAGCCUGGUCUACAGAGUGAGUUCCAGGAUAGCCUGGUCUGCAUAUACACAUAUGCAUACAUACAUACAUACAUACAUACAUACAUAUAUACACACAUAUAUGUACUGUGUAUGCUCAGUAUGGUGUCCUAUAAUCUCACCACAUGGGAGGCUGAAGCUGGAGGAUCAGCAUGGCCUCCGUAGAGAGUUCCAGGCCAGUCUGAGCUAUGUGGUGAAACCCUGUCUCAAAACAAAAAUAAAAAACAAAACAACAGCAAAGCCCAACAAUAUUGUGAAACACUUUUUUCCCUAACAGCUAAAAGCAAACCAAAUAAAGAUUAUUGUCAAAAGACAUUGUUCAGAAGAUGAACAAUUAACCUAAGACUGGAGAAAAUAUCCAUAAUACAUGUGCUUGGCGUAGGGGGUAGAAGUGAAAUGUAUAAAGAAUGCUUUCUACUCAACAAUAAAAAGAUAGGCCGCUUUGCUGAGACAUGGGCAUCAGAUCUGGACACUUCAACAAAAAGCAGUUUUGUGAAUGGUUAGCAAGCAGACAAGCCCUAAAAGAGGAUCCCAACAUGCUUAGUCACCUAGGAAUUACCUACCGCACAAUCAUGGGAAUGGCCCAAACGGGAAAGUUUGAUGACAUUCGUCUUGGCAAUUGUAAUUUGCACCUGCCAGCAGGAAAUGUCACAUGUAUAACACUUGCCUGCUGGGACUUAUCACAAAGUGUUUGUUUACUCAAGGAGCAUAAGACGGUAGCGAAAAACGGGAAGCAAACUGUAGUUUACACACAAAAUCAUUCUAUUACUCAAAAAUAAACAGGAUUAGUAAAGUAGAGAUACAUUCGACAUGAAUGGAUCUCAAAAAUACUGUGAUGACCAAAAAAAAAAAAAAUGCUUUUUCAAAAGAAAGUGUACUGUAUGAUAUCUUUAUCUGAGGUUGUAGAAAACCUCAGAGGAAAGGAAAAAAUGAUGAAAAAGUGAGAACAGAGUUGUCUCUUGGGGAGUGGUUGGCCAACAGCUGAAGGGAACUUCCUGAGGCAGUGAUCCUUGUGUGUCAGAAUGGUGGCCUCAUGGCUAUGCAUAAAUUAAAUAAGAAGUCUGGUGAGCUAUACUCUUAAGAUUUGUUCAUUCUUGUGUACAUGAAUUAUAUAAGCCCAUAAAGCAAUAUUAAAACCACAAUCUGACAUAUUGUUCUCCUGUUUGAAAACAGGAAAGUAUAUACCUACUCAAACUGACUGCUCAGUCACUCACCUGUACUGAACAGACCCAUGGGCAGAGUCAGUUCUGUCCUGA